rnacentral:rRNA from 1 species
CGGGUGAGUAAUGUAUCGGAACGUGCCCAGUCGUGGGGGAUAACUGCUCGAAAGAGCAGCUAAUACCGUAUACGACCUGAGGGUGAAAGCGGGGGAUCGCAAGACCUCGCGCGAUUGGAGCGGCCGAUAUCAGAUUAGGUAGUUGGUGAGGUAAAGGCUCACCAAGCCGACGAUCUGUAGCUGGUCUGAGAGGACGACCAGCCACACUGGGAUUGAGACACGGCCCAGACUCCUACGGGAGGCAGCAGUGGGGAAUUUUGGACAAUGGGCGCAAGCCUGAUCCAGCCAUGCCGCGUGCGGGAAGAAGGCCUUCGGGUUGUAAACCGCUUUUGUCAGGGAAGAAAAGGUUCUGGCUAAUACCUGGGACUCAUGACGGUACCUGAAGAAUAAGCACCGGCUAACUACGUGCCAGCAGCCGCGGUAAUACGUAGGGUGCAAGCGUUAAUCGGAAUUACUGGGCGUAAAGCGUGCGCAGGCGGUUAUGCAAGACAGAGGUGAAAUCCCCGGGCUCAACCUGGGAACUGCCUUUGUGACUGCAUGGCUAGAGUACGGUAGAGGGGGAUGGAAUUCCGCGUGUAGCAGUGAAAUGCGUAGAUAUGCGGAGGAGCACCGAUGGCGAAGGCAAUCCCCUGGACCUGUACUGACGCUCAUGCACGA